rnacentral:lncRNA from 1 species
UGAUACUUAAAUACUCAAGUCUGAUUAUUUAUGAAUGUGAAUAAUCUGAUAACAAAGCUAGGGAAAAUGAGGUGGGGGUUUGGAAUAUAAAUUUCAGUACUUUUUCUCAAUCAUUUUUUAUGAAUGUGAAUAAUUAUUUGUUACUCCAUUGUAGGGCUGUCAAAAAAGUCCGAAAAAUCCGAUAUCCGUCCGAAAAAUCCGCAUUCGUAUUCAUGAUAAAGCGGAUAUUAUCCGUAUCCGAGCCAAAGCGGAUAUUAUCCGCAUCCGAAUCCGACAAUUCCGG